UGGGGAAUUUUGCGCAAUGGGCGAAAGCCUGACGCAGCAACGCCGCGUGGGUGAUGAAGGUCUUCGGAUCGUAAAACCCUGUCGUCAGGGACGAAGGGUUGCGACCUAAUACGUCGUAACUUUGACGGUACCUGGAGAGGAAGCCCCGGCUAACUCUGUGCCAGCAGCCGCGGUAAUACAGAGGGGGCAAGCGUUAUUCGGAAUUAUUGGGCGUAAAGGGCGCGUAGGCGGUGUUUUAAGUGAGAUGUGUAAUCCCCGAGCUUAACUUGGGAACUGCAUCUCAGACUGGGACGCUAGAGUGCUGGAGAGGGUGGUAGAAUUCCACGUGUAGCGGUGAAAUGCGUAGAGAUGUGGAGGAAUACCAGUGGCGAAGGCGGCCACCUGGACAGUAACUGACGCUGAGGCGCGAAAGUGUGGGUAGCAAACAGG
rnacentral:rRNA from 1 species